GGCGGCGUGCUUAACACAUGCAAGUCAAGGAGAAAGUCUCGCUUGCGAGAUGAUUAAACUGGCGCACGGGCGAGUAAUAUAUAAGCAAUCUACCCAUAGGUUUGGGAUAACGUCGAGAAAUCGGCGCUAAUACCGUAUAAUGCAGCGGCAUCGCAUGAUGAUGUUGUUAAAGUUCUUGAAACGCCUAUGGAUGAGCUUGUAUCUGAUUAGCUUGUUGGUGAGGUAACGGCUCACCAAGGCAAUGAUCAGUAGCUGGUCUGAGAGGAUGAUCAGCCACAUUGGAACUGAGACACGGUCCAGACUCCUACGGGAGGCAGCAGUGAGGAAUAUUGGGCAAUGGGCGAAAGCCUGACCCAGCAACGCCGCGUGGAGGAUGAAUGUCGUAAGAUUGUAAACUCCUUUUAGAGGGGACGAAAAAACAGGUUAGAAGCCUGAAUUGACGGUACCCUCAGAAUAAGCCCCGGCUAACUACGUG
rnacentral:rRNA from 1 species